rnacentral:misc_RNA from 1 species
CAAAUUCAAGAUGGCGUCCGUAUUUCGUCCAUGUGUCUCUCAAAGUCUUUCAUUUACUCGUUUUCUUUCGCCGAUUAUUGUUACUACGAGGACGCUAGCUUCACAAAAGGUCUCAGCCGCGUUAGAUAAAGCAAGGAACUAUGAAGAUAAUGUGUAUUUAUUGAACUACAGACCCCCUCCUUCGCAUUCAUUCACCGAAGCUCUGGCAGUGCUUCGUGCUUACGCUCUCAGUAACUUUGAUGAGACCGUGGAAUUACACUUGAAGAUUAACAUGGGAGAAAAAAAGAAUAAGGUACAAGCAUUUCGAGGAAUUGUCAUGUUACCAAAACCAUAUGGGCUUCAGAAGACUCUCUUGGUUUUUGCUGAGGGAGAUGCCGCAGUUGCUGCAAAAGAAGGAGGGGCUGAUAUAGUUGGUGGGCAAGAAUUAUUUGAACAAAUUAAAAAAGGAGGACUUAAGUUUGAUCAGUGUCUCUCUACCAUGGAAAUGAUAGAUAGAGUCAAAUCCUUACAAAGAAUAUUAAGAGAAAAGAUGCCAACAACAAGGAGAGGUACAGCUACAGAUGAUAUCGUAACAGCUAUCAAAACUUAUAAACAAGGUCAUUCCUACAAAUGUGAUAAAAAUGGAUUUCUUAAUGUUGGGAUAGGCAAGCUAAGUUUCCAAGAUCAAGAAAUCAAAAACAAUGCAACAUCUUUAAUACAAGCUGUACAUUCUCAUAAAAUCAGCAGUAAAGGCAAAUUCAUCACAAGAAUAAUGAUGUCAUCUACUCNCGGGCCUGGUUUACUACUUCAUCUAAAUGAACUAGAACCAUAAGCAUUAUGGCAUUCCAUGUAACACUUUUGCCCUAUAACCUGUAUAAUAAUUCCCAAAUUAUUAAAAUAUUUACUAUCAGAAUUAUUUUUUUCUGACAGCCCUUGGUAGAUUAUUGACUGUCUUACUAAUGAUCAAUCAAAAGCACAAAACAAUUUGAGUGGAGACUCCGGGGGAAAAAAGAAUAAUUACGAUUUCUCGCGCGCUGAUUGGCUAAUUUUUAUCUUGAAUAAGAGGACAGACAAUAAUCUUACGUCAACGAGAGCGCGCUCUUUCCGUUGGUUGUUUUGAUCGGCGACUGUCUUGAUCGGCUAAAAACGAGAAGUUUUUUUUUUGUUAUUGUAAAAAGAAAAUUGCAUCAUGUUUUUGGUGUGUCUGUCCCCUUAUUGACAAUAAAUUUCGUCAUAUCAUAAUAAUAAUAAUAAUAGUGCAUUUAUAUAGCGCAUAUCCAAAUGAAUGCUCUAUGCGCUAUAAUAAUCAGAAUAACAAUAAUAAUCAAAAACUAAUGAUAACUAAAAAUCAAAAUAGUUUUUAAACAGAUGAGUUUUAAGUUGCGACUUGAAUUCAAGGACAGUUUGACAGGAUCUUAAAGAUAGAGGUAGAGUUCCAGAGUUCAGGUGCAGCAAAAGAGAAGGAUCGUCCACCAUUGUAAAUUGGUAUUUUUAAGAGAAGAGAGUUUGAAGAACGGAGAAGUCUUGAAGGUAGCCAGUGAAGAUUCUUUAAAAUUGGAGUCAUAUGGUCGUGUUUUCUGGAGAGAGUUAGCAGUCGGGCAGCAGCAUUUUGAAUAGAUUGGACCUUGUCAAUAAAACAUUUAGGAAGAUUAAACAAAAGAGAGUUACAAUUGUCAAUUUUCAAUGUUAUGAAAGCAUGAAUCAGUUUCUCAGUGGUAGUGAAAGAAAGAAAUCUUCGUAUUCUGGAAUAUUCUUGAGAUGGUAGAAAGCAGACUUUGAUAGUUGUUUGAUUUGACGAGCCAUGGAAAGAGUUGAGUCAAACAUUACACCAAUGUUUCUUGUAAGGGGGGAAGGAGAAAUAAUAUCAGAACUAAAUUGGAUUGGAGGAAAGGAUAUUUGAUUGUUGAAUUUUGAAAAGAAGUAAAGAAGUUCAGUUUUAUCUUU